rnacentral:rRNA from 1 species
UGGGGGAUAUUGCACAAUGGGCGAAAGCCUGAUGCAGCGACGCCGCGUGGGGGAUGAAGGCCUUCGGGUUGUAAACUUCUUUUGCUCUGAACAAGGCAUGCUAAUGGGUGUGUUGAGUGUAGGGGUUGAUUAGCGCCGGCUAACUACGUGCCAGCAGCCGCGGUAAUACGUAGGGCGCGAGCGUUGUCCGGAAUUAUUGGGCGUAAAGGGCUUGUAGGUGGCUGGUUGCGUCUGUCGUGAAAGCUCAUGGCUUAACGGUGGGUUUGCGGGGGGUACGGGCUGGCUUGAGUGCAGUAGGGGAGGCUGGAAUUCCUGGUGUAGCGGUGGAAUGCGCAGAUAUCAGGAGGAAUACCGGUGGCGAAGGCGGGUCUCUGGGCUGUUACUGACACUGAGGAGCGAAAGCAUGGGGAGCGAACAGG